CCUACGGGAGGCAGCAGUGAGGAAUAUUGGACAAUGGGCGCAAGCCUGAUCCAGCCAUGCCGCGUGCAGGAUGACGGUCCUAUGGAUUGUAAACUGCUUUUGUACAGGAAGAAACCCUUUCACGUGUGAAAGAUUGACGGUACUGUAAGAAUAAGGAUCGGCUAACUCCGUGCCAGCAGCCGCGGUAAUACGGAGGAUCCAAGCGUUAUCCGGAAUCAUUGGGUUUAAAGGGUCCGUAGGCGGUCAGAUAAGUCAGUGGUGAAAGCCCAUCGCUCAACGGUGGAACGGCCAUUGAUACUGUCUGACUUGAAUUAUUAGGAAGUAACUAGAAUAUGUAGUGUAGCGGUGAAAUGCUUAGAGAUUACAUGGAAUACCAAUUGCGAAGGCAGGUUACUACUAAUGGAUUGACGCUGAUGGACGAAAGCGUGGGUAGCGAACAGGAUUAGAUACCCUGGUAGUCCACGCCGUAAACGAUGGAUACUAGCUGUUGGGAGCAAUCUCAGUGGCUAAGCGAAAGUGAUAAGUAUCCCACCUGGGGAGUACGUUCGCAAGAAUUGAAACUUCAAAUUGAAUUGACGGCUUGAGACGNGCGAGACGACACGAGGAGGAGG
rnacentral:rRNA from 1 species